GUGGAUAGUGACGUCAUAAUGGUCUAAUGUCCCAAAGUGUCGGCGCAUAUUCUUAAAUAACCGAACAUGUACCGUCGCUCUGGGAUGCGCGACCAUUACUAUCAUCUGUGACGUAA
rnacentral:precursor_RNA from 10 species